GACGAACCGUGCGAACGUUAUUCGGAAUCACUGGGCUUAAAGGGCGCGUAGGCGGGUUGCCAAGUCUGUGGUGAAAUCCUCCGGCUCAACCGGAGAACGGCCGUGGAUACUGGCGAUCUUGAGUCCGGGAGAGGUGAGUGGAACUGCGAGUGUAGAGGUGAAAUUCGUAGAUAUUCGCAAGAACACCAGUGGCGAAGGCGGCUCACUGGCCCGGUACUGACGCUGAGGUGCGAAAGCGUGGGGAGCAAACAGG
rnacentral:rRNA from 1 species